rnacentral:misc_RNA from 1 species
GAUGAAGAACGUAGCAAAAUGCGAUAAGUAGUGUGAAUUGCAGAAUUCAGUGAAUCAUCGAAUCUUUGAACGCACAUUGCGCCCCUUGGUAUUCCAUGGGGCAUGCCUGUUCGAGCGUCAUUGACACCCUCAAGCUCUGCUUGGUGUUGGGCCGUUGUCGUUUCCUCGCCCCCCGGGCGACACAGCGACACCCCUCAAAGUCAUUGGCGGCUUUCCUGCCCAGCUUUCCCGCGCAGCAGUUCGCGCUUCGGAGACCACUUGGCAGGUUGGCAUCCAUCAAGCUGACCCCUCACGCUUGACCUCGGAUCAGGUAGGGACUACCCGCUGAACUUAAGCAUAUCAAUAAGCGGAGGA